rnacentral:tRNA from 1 species
UAGCUUGGUUGGUAGUGCGUCUGCCUUGUGAGCACUAGGUCGCGGGUUCAAUUCCCGC